ACCUUUCGGGGUCAGCGGCGGACGGGUGAGUAACGCGUGGGAACGUGCCUUCCGGUUCGGAAUAACCCUGGGAAACUAGGGCUAAUACCGGAUACGCCCUUAUGGGGAAAGGUUUACUGCCGGAAGAUCGGCCCGCGUCUGAUUAGCUAGUUGGUGGGUAACGGCCUACCAAGGCGACGAUCAGUAGCUGGUCUGAGAGGAUGAUCAGCCACACUGGGACUGAGACACGGCCCAGACUCCUACGGGAGGCAGCAGUGGGGAAUAUUGGACAAUGGGCGCAGGCCUGAUCCAGCCAUGCCGCGUGAGUGAUGAAGGCCUUAGGGUUGUAAAGCUCUUUUAUCCGGGACGAUAAUGACGGUACCGGAGGAAUAAGCCCCGGCUAACUUCGUGCCAGCAGCCGCGGUAAUACGAAGGGGGCUAGCGUUGCUCGGAAUCACUGGGCGUAAAGGGCGCGUAGGCGGCGUUUUAAGUCGGGGGUGAAAGCCUGUGGCUCAACCACAGAAUGGCCUUCGAUACUGGGACGCUUGAGUAUGGUAGAGGUUGGUGGAACUGCGAGUGUAGAGGUGAAAUUCGUAGAUAUUCGCAAGAACACCGGUGGCGAAGGCGGCCAACU
rnacentral:rRNA from 1 species